rnacentral:rRNA from 1 species
UUUCGCAAUGCCCGAAAGGGUGACGAAGCGACGCCGCGUGCGGGAAGAAGGCCUUCGGGUUGUAAACCGCUGUCGGGAGUUAAGAAAUGCAAGGGUGUUAAUAGUAUCCUUGCUUGACUAAGGCUCCGGAGGAAGCCACGGCUAACUCUGUGCCAGCAGCCGCGGUAAUACAGAGGCGGCAAGCGUUGUUCGGAAUUAUUGGGCGUAAAGAGCACGUAGGCGGCUAUGUAAGUCGGUUGUGAAAGCCUUCCGCUCAACGGGAGAACAGCAUCCGAUACUGCAUGGCUUGAGUGCGGGAGGGGAGAGUGGAACUUCUGGUGGAGCGGUGAAAUGCGUAGAUAUCAGAAGGAACGCCGGCGGCGAAAGCGGCUCUCUGGCCCAUAACUGACGCUGAGUGUGCGAAAGCUAGGGGAGCAAACGGGAUUAGAUACCCCGGUAGUCCUAGCCGUAAACGAUGGGCACUAAGUAGAGGGGUUUUA